rnacentral:rRNA from 1 species
CGCAUCUGUGCAUGCAGCAUAUCAAUAAGCGGAGGAAAAGAAACUAACAAGGAUUCCCCUAGUAACGGCGAGUGAAGCGGGAAGAGCUCAAAUUUGAAAUCUUAAAGGGUUUCCCUUUACGAAUUGUAGUUUAAAGAAGUGUUUUCUGUUGAGGUUUUGGUAAAAGUUCUUUGGAAUAGGACAUCAUAGAGGGUGAGAAUCCCGUAUUUGACCUUUACUUUCAACUUUGUGAUACACUUUCAAAGAGUCGGAUUGUUUGGGAAUGCAGUCCAAAAUGGGUGGUAAAUUUCAUCUAAAGCUAAAUAUUGGCGAGAGACCGAUAGAGAACAAGUACCGUGAGGGAAAGAUGAAAAGAACUUUGAAAAGAGAGUUAAACAGUACGUGAAAUUGUCAAAAGGGAAGCGUUUGACACCAGUGUUGUUUUUCUGAAAAUCAAUUAAAGAACUGUUUAUGCUAAGCUGUUUAGACUUUAUCAGCUAACUGUUUAGUUUUGAGCUUUUCUUUAAUGCACUUUUCAGUUAACAAGUCAACAUCAAUUUCUUUUGCUGUAAAAAAGCUUGAGGAAGGUGGCUUGAGAUUCGUCUUAAGUGUUUAUAGCCUCUUGCCUAUGCAGUCGGAGAGAUUGAGGUCUGCAGCGUAGAUCCUUCGGGGCUAAAUGCAUUUGUGCUAAGUUAUAGCAUUUUAUAGACAACUUGUUGACUAUGAUUUGUCUUGUAGCUUACUCGCUUAUGUUAUUUUACCUACGCUUAGGAUGUUGAAUCUGUGCGAGACUAC